ACCCUUAGAUGUUCUGGGCCGCACGCGCGCUACACUGAUGCGUUCAACGAGUUUAGAACCUUGACUGAUAGGUCUGGGUAAUCUUUUGAAUGCGCAUCGUGCUAGGGAUAGAUUAUUGCAAUUAUUAAUCUUGAACGAGGAAUUCCUAGUAAACGCAAGUCAUCAGCUUGCAUUGAUUACGUCCCUGCCCUUUGUACACACCGCCCGUCGCACCAACCGAUUGAAUGGUUCGGUGAAGAAUCUGGACACAUGAUGUUUGGGAUUCAUUUCCUGAAUGUCGAGUGGAAUGUUUCUAAACCUAACCCUUUAGAGGAUGGUGAAGUCGUAACA
rnacentral:rRNA from 1 species